UAAAAGACAAGAAGUAAAAAUAAAACUCUAUACUACUGACUGAUAACCUGAAAAUGUUGUCUCCCUGUAUUUUAGGAGAAUUUACUAGACUCUUUUAUGUCAUCAUAUUUUGGAAGUAGGCAUAUGAAAAAUUCAACUUUGAUUUUAUAUGUUUAGAAAAAUAAGCUGAACAACCUUGAUAUGCUUAUCAUUGAAAGAGAUGGGGAUUCCUUGUUUCCCUUGAGGUUUGGAAGCAAAGACAUGGGGCUUAACUCUUGUGGGUCCUGAGGGUACAGUGUUUGGCGAGAGGCAAGAGAUGAGGUCUCCUGUUGGGACUCAUAAGCCCGGGGUUUUAGGGGCAGGCACCCUUUGCGAUUUU
rnacentral:lncRNA from 1 species